AAGGGAAUCACCUAAGUAUGUCAUACCCAAAAGCUGAAAACUGCUACUCGUUGCUGUUGACUCGUUGAUGUUGUUGUUGCUGCAAAUCUUGUAGUCGUCUUCG